rnacentral:lncRNA from 1 species
ACUAUAAAGUGUUUACUGUCAGUUUGCCUGCUUCCCAUGUAUCUUUGAUAAUGAUUGUGGUAAGUUAUAGAUGCAAAUUUUCAAUGGAGUGUGAACGCUUGAGGUUAAGUCCUGAAGGCCAAUGAGAGAAUGGAUUUCCUGUGCUGAUUUGUGAUUUGCUUUUUGGGUGGUAAUUGUAUGAGUCUGUGGGUGAGUUUAGUUUCCAUCGUGAUAUCGCCAUUGGUUAUUAGCUAUAUGGCCAACCUUGUAUGUGUGUGUCUAGUAUUGCGUUGUCCGUAUCUUGUGUACAUGUUGAUGGCAUAUUUGCUUUUCAAU